UUGGAGUUCUUGUUCCCGCCCACCUGAGAUGACACCAACCAGGAAGUGACAGCUUGCCAGGAAGGGAUCUUCAAACUUCUUUCUAACUAAAAAACAAAGGUCUGAAUUUGGGACAUGUCUCCUUCCAUCAUAGGGCUGCAGAAUUAAAGUGGUGAAUAAUACAUGGCUGAAAGCAUCCGUCUCUCUGAGCUGCCUCCUCUGGACAGCAGGGAUCUGAAGCAUCUCUGCACCAUCAUUGCAGCCGGGGAAUGACUGUAACGGCGCUAUAUAGUUGCGACAUCACAACCUUACAGAAGUCCUGACAGCUCGUUUUAAGGCCGUUUCUGAAUAUGUGCUGUGUGCAAGUGUUUUGAUCCUUUCACAGUAUUUAUACAGCAUCGAGACCUGCUUUUUAAUCAAAAAGACAUGAAAAUCUCACUUUUUACAACAUUAAACA